UACGGAGGGUGCAAGCAUUAAUCGGAUUUAUUGGGCGUAAAGGGCGCGUAGGCGGUAAUGAAAGUCGAAUGUGAAAUCCCGGAACUCAACUUCGGACACGCGUUCGAAACUUCAUUUCUAGAGGAUAGGCGGAGAAAACGGAAUUCCACGUGUAGCGGUGAAAUGCGUAGAUAUGUGGAAGAACACCUGUGGCGUAGGCGGUUUUCUAGCUUAUUCCUGACGCUAAGGCGCGAGAGCAAGGGGAGCAAACAGG
rnacentral:rRNA from 1 species